AGAGUUUGAUCCUGGCUCAGGACGAACGCUGGCGGCGUGCCUAAUACAUGCAAGUCGAACGCACCGAGAGGGAACUUGUUCCCUUGACGUGAGUGGCGAACGGGUGAGUAACACGUGGGUAACUUGCCCUUCGGGGGGGGAUAACCAUCGGAAACGAUGACUAAUACCGCAUAGACGACCGCGUCGCAUGACGCUAUCGGGAAAGACGGCUUCGGCUGUCACUGAAGGAUGGACCCGCGGUGCAUUAGCUAGUUGGUAAGGUAACGGCUUACCAAGGCGAUGAUGCAUAGCCGACCUGAGAGGGUGAUCGGCCACAUUGGGACUGAGACACGGCCCAAACUCCUACGGGAGGCAGCAGUAGGGAAUCUUCCGCAAUGGACGCAAGUCUGACGGAGCGACGCCGCGUGUGUGAAGAAGGUCUUCGGAUCGUAAAGCACUGUUAUUAGAGAAGAACACCCCGUUAAGUAACUGUAACGGGAUUGACGGUAUCUAACAAGAAAGUGACGGCUAACUACGUGCCAGCAGCCGCGGUAAUACGUAGGUCACAAGCGUUGUCCGGAUUUAUUGGGCGUAAAGGGAGCGCAGGCGGUCGGUUAAGUCUGAUGUGAAAGCCCACGGCUCAACCGUGGAGGUGCAUUGGAAACUGGUCGGCUUGAGUACAGAAGAGGAAAGUGGAAUUCCAUGUGUAGCGGUGAAAUGCGUAGAUAUAUGGAGGAACACCAGUGGCGAAGGCGACUUUCUGGUCUGUAACUGACGCUGAGGCUCGAAAGCGUGGGGAGCAAACAGAAGUAGAUACCCUGGUAGUCCACGCCGUAAACGAUGCGUAAAGGUGUGGGGGGUUCCACCCCCUCAGUGCUGGCGUUAACGCAAUAAACACUCCGCUGGGGAGUACGGCCGCAAGGCUGAAAUUCAAAGAAUUGACGGGACCCGCACAAGCGGUGGAGCAUGUGUUUAAUUCGAAGCAACGCGAAGAACCUUACCAGGUCUUGACAUCCGCUGCAUAGCCUAGAGAUAGGUGAAGUCCUUCGGGACAGCGAGACAGGUGGUGCAUGGUUGUCGUCAGCUCGUGUCGUGAGAUGUUUGGUUAAGUCCAGCAACGAGCGCAACCCUUAUUACUAGUUGCCAGCAUUCAGUUGGGGACUCUAGUGAGACUGCCGGUGACAAACCGGAGGAAGGUGGGGAUGACGUCAAAUCAUCAUGCCCCUUAUGACCUGGGCUACACACGUGCUACAAUGGAUGGUACAACGAGGAGCGAACUCGCAAGGGCAAGCGAAUCUCUUAAAGCCAUUCUCAGUUCGGAUUGUUCUCUGCAACUCGAGAGCAUGAAGCCGGAAUCGCUAGUAAUCGCGGAUCAGCACGCCGCGGUGAAUACGUUCCCGGGUCUUGCACACACCGCCCGUCA
rnacentral:rRNA from 1 species